rnacentral:snRNA from 1 species
GCAUCAUAUUAGCUUUUAGGUUAAGAUCAAAUAAAGUAUUUCUUCUUAUCAGUUUAAUACCUGUUACAUCCUUAAUAUGAAGAAUAUAUGUUAAAUGAACUUUUAGAAUUAUGGUUUGAAAAAGGACAUAGUACCAGCCCAUGUCAACCGAUACUGCAACAAAGCCUGAGACAAUUCACA